UACGCAGGGGGCAAGCGUUGUCCGGAAUCAUUGGGCGUAAAGCGCGUGUAGGCGGCCCGGUAAGUCCGCUGUGAAAGUCGGGGGCUCAACCCUCGGAUGCCGGUGGAUACUGUCGGGCUAGAGUGCGGGAGAGGCGAGUGGAAUUCCUGGUGUAGCGGUGGAAUGCGCAGAUAUCAGGAAGAACACCCGUGGCGAAGGCGGCUCUCUGGAACGCAACUGACGCUGAGACGCGAAAGCGUGGGGAGCAAACAGG
rnacentral:rRNA from 1 species